CAGCGCGGGAGCAAUCCUGGCGGCGAGUGGCGAACGGGUGAGUAAUACAUCGGAACGUGCCCAAUCGUGGGGGAUAACGCAGCGAAAGCUGUGCUAAUACCGCAUACGAUCUACGGAUGAAAGCAGGGGAUCGCAAGACCUUGCGUGAAUGGAGCGGCCGAUGGCAGAUUAGGUAGUUGGUGAGGUAAAGGCUCACCAAGCCUUCGAUCUGUAGCUGGUCUGAGAGGACGACCAGCCACACUGGGACUGAGACACGGCCCAGACUCCUACGGGAGGCAGCAGUGGGGAAUUUUGGACAAUGGGCGAAAGCCUGAUCCAGCCAUGCCGCGUGCAGGAUGAAGGCCUUCGGGUUGUAAACUGCUUUUGUACGGAACGAAACGGCCUUUUCUAAUAAAGAGGGCUAAUGACGGUACCGUAAGAAUAAGCACCGGCUAACUACGUGCCAGCAGCCGCGGUAAUACGUAGGGUGCAAGCGUUAAUCGGAAUUACUGGGCGUAAAGCGUGCGCAGGCGGUUAUGUAAGACAGUUGUGAAAUCCCCGGGCUCAACCUGGGAACUGCAUCUGUGACUGCAUAGCUAGAGUACGGUAGAGGGGGAUGGAAUUCCGCGUGUAGCAGUGAAAUGCGUAGAUAUGCGGAGGAACACCGAUGGCGAAGGCAAUCCCCUGGACCUGUACUGACGCUCAUGCACGAAAGCGUGGGGAGC
rnacentral:rRNA from 1 species